rnacentral:rRNA from 1 species
AUACGGAGGGUGCAAGCGUUAAUCGGAUUUACUGGGCGUAAAGCGUACGUAGGCGGUUUGAUAAGUCAGAUGUGAAAGCCCCGGGCUCAACCUGGGAACUGCAUUUGAAACUGUCAGACUAGAGUUUGGUAGAGGGUAGUAGAAUUCCUGGUGUAGCGGUGAAAUGCGUAGAUAUCAGGAGGAAUACCAGUGGCGAAGGCGGCUACCUGGACCAAAACUGACGCUGAGGUACGAAAGCGUGGGGAGCAAACAGGAUUAGAAACCCCGGUAGUCC